UCGGCGUUUUCGCCAUAACUUGGCCAAAAAUGACCGCACAGCUUAAAUAUAGACUGUUUUGUGUUGCUAAUAAACAUAGCUAACUAUGUCUGUACCUACUUUUAAACGGAGUGGCCAACAAAUGCAGCCUGUCAACCGGGCAACCGAAACAAUGCAAAGUAAGCUCUCUGUCAUUUUGCAUUUUGCAAUUUGCAAUUGGAGUAGCCCACCUCACGGCUGCACAAAAAGUGAAAAAAAGGGUGUCAGGGCCAGAAGUGGAAAAGGAGAAGGAGCUGAAGCUGGAGCUGGAGGUGGUUUCAUUUUCAAAAUCCAAAUCCCUUUAAUGCCCCGGCGACAAAGUGUCUUGUGUCCACAGACGCAGCCGUAAUUUUUGUGCAGCGGCUUCAGGUGUCCGCUUCGCACCUGGGGCAAGCACCCAAAGCCGGCAAUUUAUGGCGGGCCUGACACAAUUUCAUAAGGCCCCCAAAAGGCUCGCAUCUCAGAGCCGGAGUCGAACUGGUAGUACGGGCAAAAGAUUACGCGAUUGUGGCUAAAAAUAGCUGGCCAUAUUGCAGCUAAAGGUCAGCCGGCCUCGAAGAUGCAGCUGCUAUCUGCUGACUGAUUUACAAGCCAAGUGCAAGUCGCUCAUAAGUUGGCCUCUCUGGACUUGCCACACUUGCGACAUUGAAUUAUGCGCGGCGAGGGAAAGUGCUGUCAUCGCCAGCCGAAUCUGUAUCUGUAGCUUUAGCUGUAUCUGUAGCUCUAGCUGUAUCUGUAGCUUUAGCUGUAUCUGUAUCUGAAUCCGAAACCGAAUCCGAAUCGAAAUCGACAGCGUUCAAACGUUGCACCUCCGGAGACGGAAUGAGAUGCAAUGGAUUGGUAUGCGAUGACAUUUUAUUUAUGCACGGCGUGGCCAGCUGUUGAGAGCAUUAAAUUAAUGCGCUUAGUGGCCAUCAUCGAUGUCCCAGGUCCGCGUCUGGCAAUUGAUAUUUUAAUCGCCAUUUCAUUUUGUCUGCCGCGACUUGGCAACUGGCGCCAUGGCAAGUCCGGUGCUUAGGGAGCUGCUACACAGCCAGAAAAAGUUGAUAGCCUUCUUCAGCAGUUGGAAAUUAGAGGGAUUGAAAAGAUAGGUCAUCUAGCAAUUGUGCAGAUGAAAACCGACAUUCCACAUACCUUACAAAACCAUACAGAUCUUAAAUGAAUCAAUAUAUCUCUCAGGUAUACAUAUGUACAUAUAUGCUAGAAUUAAAUGCGAUUUGGAAUGCAAGUUUUUUUCUGUGUGCAGGUUAUCAGCUAUCAUUAUGAACUUGGGCCCAUACGUGUUGCCUGUUCGCUUGCCUUAUGGGCACGCAUUUUGCAACUCCCAAUUAAAAUGUUAUUCAAUGCGUCGCCGAACGCGACUUAUAAACACAUAAACACAUUUCCCCCGAUAAGACGACGAGCUGAAAGCCACAACUUUAAUGCCGCUUAACUCAAAUGAUAUGGCCAUAAACAGAAGCCCAAGCAGAAACUGAAACAGAAACUGCAACUGAAACUGAAAUUGGAAAACGGAAGUGGAAUCCGUCUGGCAAAUGGUCACAAGAGUUGGCAAAUAUUCAAGGCACAUGUGUCGGGAAAAACUGCAGGCGAUAAAACACACAGCUGAACAACAAUGUUUUCACAGCGAUGGGGAAAUUCCGAUCGAUAGGAAAACAUUUUGCUUGGUUGAGAAACUUCGAAGUGUAGGCCUCCAAGAAAUAUAAUAAAAAUAAAUGGGCCUUUAAAAUCAAGUUAUAAAAUCGGAAACAUGCAUUUCAUAGAACCGUACUAAAGAUAAAAGUCUAUAGUAUACUGGCAAACAUUAAAUAUAUUUCUAUAAAAAUAUAAAAAAGAUUGUUUUAGUUAUUAAUAAACUGUAAAUAGUUAUUUAAGAUGCUCUCGGAAUUAUGUCUUUUAAACACUUGAAAACGCAUCGAAAGUAAUUAAAAUGUGAUUGCACUUGAGUUCUGGCUAAAGUGGCUUUGCCUGGCCAUAAAAACUAAGACUCCUUCUUCAACCCGGCCAAUUGCAGCUAAUCUUCGUUAAGAGUCAUUGAUAGUUUCCCGAGGAUUAACGAUCGUUUCCGCUUUCCGCCAGCUAAAGAGCUGAAAGAGCCUCCACCAGAAAUAGGCUGGAAAUUCUUUUGAAAUUGAGCGAAUCUCGCAGACGCAUAAGCAUAAAAAUUCCUUAAGAUGCGCCUCCCUCACGGAGGGCAAUGGAUUUGUGUGUUAUUUUUAGCUCCUGGCUGGAUAUAUCCAUGGAUCGGAGCCACUUAAACGACGGCUGUGCGCUGCGCUCAUCCAGGCCAACGCAUUGGCAAAUAACACGGCAACUUUUGCUUUUGCCACAGACCCCCAUCCUAUACAUCCCACCCAUCCUAGCCAUUUUACCAAACCCCCUGGAUUUGUUCAGCAAAAAAGUGAAAUCCUUUUAAAGCGGCAGCAAACAAAAAUCUAGGAAAAUGUCGCCGCCAAAAUGUUAUAAAUCUUGUUCAUAUUUGCACGUGAAGCCAAAGCCCAAGCCAAAGCCACUGACACAGCCUUACUCUUAGCCAAAUGCAGACUUUCAGGCCAGGUUGGGAAGCCAUAAAUGUCACUGGAGGCGGCCAAGAGCGGCCUGGCAUAUUAGUUUUCCACGGAGCGAGUGGCAAAACGUGCUAAAUUCCAUGGGGCAGACGUGUCCAUUAAAGAGCCGCUUGCUGCCUGGCCGAAACAUGCCACAGCUGAAAAGUGCUAAAAUCUCAUAAAACAUUGCCUGACUGCUGAUUCUAAAUUAACUUUGGCUUCCCCGCCGGCACAGUGAUUCGAGAUGGUGGGAAAAACGUGUUCCAAAUGGAACGUAGUUCUACUUUCUAGCCAAUACUAAAUGGCACAUGGGUAUAGCAGAGUCGCACUAUUUAUUUACGAAUUAAUAAAUGACACUUUCAUAUUUCAAGAAUAUAUUUUAAGAUUUUAUUAGCUUUUAAUAGCACUUUAGUAUUUUAAGAAUAUAUUUUAUGAUUUUAAUAGCUCGUUCCUUAGUGUUUCAGGAAUAUAUUUUCAGAUUUUAAUAGCUUGCAGUGUUUUAAUGCUUUUUAUGAGCCAUUAUUUCAGUGUAUGCAGUUUAAUAUAAAAUCUUUCUAUAAACGUUUAACUUGCAACAAUAACAUCUUUCUAUAUAAGUUUUACUUGCAAUAUUAAAAUCUUUCUAUAUAAAUUUUACUUGCAACAAUAACCUCUUUCUAUGUACGUUUUGCUUGCAACAAAAGCAGUUUCUAUAUAAGUUUUACUUGCAACAAAAGCAGUUUCUAUAUAGGUUUUAGUUGCAACAAAUGCACUGUGCCUGCCUCUCUCUUUUUCCUCAUCCUGGCAGGCGACACUUCAGCUGAGGAGGAGUGGACUGGACUGGAGUGGAGUGGAGUAGCAAGAAGUAGAGAGGAGUAGAAUGGAGUGGAGCAGCCGGAGCUGUUGCACUUUGCACUUCAGCCCAAGGAGGCGGAGUUGAGGUGCAGGCCGACGUGUUUUUGAGGAACUUCCCUUCGGCGGCCAGGCAUCUCGUGCAUUUUCAAUGGCCUCCCUUGACUUUGACAUGACGAGCUGCGUGAUUGUGGCGUUUUGGAGGAUCUUCUGGCCGUAAAACACAGCCCGUGAUGAAUGGCAACUGCGCGAAAAAUGCAUAAAUGUGUGAACAAAUUUCUUUGCCCACUAAAUAUAGCCGCAUCGACUGCAAAACUAAUCUCGCGAAAAUGUCGAGGGCAUUCACCUUAAGUUUGUGCCGCUUGGCGGUGCCAAAUAUGGUGGCUCCUUGGAUCUGCAUACAUGGUCAUGACCAGUUCAAGGGCUGGGUGAAAUUGCCAUGCAAAUUGAGAUAUCAGGCGGGGGACAAAGAAAAAAGGUAGUGGUAUUGGCGCCAUUAUGUAAGGCCAUCGCAUUUAAUUAACCAAACGAGCAGCAAAUAUGGAAAGCGGUUGUUGGUUUUUGCUUCUUGGGUUUUGGUCUGUGGCCAGGGCCAAGAAACGCUAAUCUCUGCGGACGGGCAAACAUUUUCGUGCGGUUUCAGCGCUGUGGUUUUCGCUUUCGAAAUCAAUUUUCAAUUCAAUUUUCCCAUAUCGCGCACGCAUCGCAGAGACGCAAGCCAAUGAGCUGAAAGCGGCCAGGAAAUGUCAGUCAGGGCUUAAGGCUUUUUGCCGCUGCUCUGCUGAUUGAUUAAUGUGGAGCACGAUUGCAUAAGGGAUUGCAGUCGCAGUCGCCGAAAAUCUUACAUCUACGUGGGCGACACACUGGUAACCCAGUCAAGCCAUCAGUCAGUCAAUCACUCACUUAGCCACUUGGAGGUGGAGUGGUAGGUGGAUUGCUGUAUUGUUGGAUUGCUGGAUUGCUGUAUUGUUCGGGAGGAGCGGGAGUGGAAGUGGGAGUUGUCGCACAGAUAGAGACCACGUCUGUCUGGUUUGAAGGCCAAGAUAUAAUACCACACCGCGAUAUAGUUGAGUGCGGACCCAGUCGAGGGUAGUGUUGACUCUAGAUAGGAGCUGGACAACCCAGACAGUUGGUAUUGGCUUCUCGGUAAUGGCUUACCGCUAAUGAGCUCCAUAAACAUGCUGGAUAAAUUUGCAUUGGGGCUCUGGCCAAGAUAUCUCUCUUAACAUGGUUAACAAGUUCUGCUUGCCCCGCGCUUCAUGACAAGUCAAUCUCAAUCGGCUUAAGUUCACGAUGGCGUCUGGGUUCAUCGAACGUCGCUGUCAAGUUCCAAGUACUAUUGAAUGGCCCUAACUCUAAACAGUCUAUUUACUUUAGUGCAAGCCACAUGUAAGCCUAGUAAACUAUUGUCAUAAAAAACCCAAAACAUAAUGCUACUUAUCUGUGACUGAUGUGAAUCUUUCCUGCUAGGAAUGCCACUUUGGAAUGCGAUAGAAGUCAGUUACUUUGCAGGGCCUCUGCCAGAUCAUCGAGAGAAAAUUGCACUCCCAGUCGUGCCCGAGGAUGGCCAAUAGAUGCCCCUAUUUAGUAAGGCCGCAUCCGCGGAAUGCGCUGCCAUCCCCCAUUUGGAGCUGCUGCUCCACUAUGUACUAUCCAUCCAGUGCUGUGCCAGAUCGCCGCCCAAGGCAGUGGACCACAUGCCGCAGCUAGAUCCAAUGUCAAUGCAUCCAAUGAAAGGCAUCAAUUAAUGGUCAAUGCACUGAGCUGCGCUGCGCGUGGCGGCUGCAAAGAUUUUCGCUGGAAAAUCUACACUGCCGCAGGCCAAAGGAUUGAGGAGCGAGAAGUUGAGGCCAGGUUUGAGGCCAUCGACUGUCAUCCAGUUCGGGCCAAGAUUGGCGCAACGACCACCGUGGUCGUGGCAGCUGUUUUCUGCUGUUUUAUGCUGUUUUGUGGCAGCCAUAAUUGGCAUGUGGAAAACUGGCGGCGUGGCCAUAAAAAGCAGGUCAGGCCACUGCCAAGACAAUCAAAUAAUGGCCACUUCUUUAAUCGAUGACCAGUCGUCUCGCACACUCAGUUUGGUGGCAUCAUAAAAUUUCACUACCCAUUCUAUCGGCCAGCCGGAUUUUAGAUGCCAGCAUCCAGUGCCCAGUGUCUAGUAUGCAGUAUACCCAAAACCGAUCGGCGGCAAACAUAUGUUAAUGAAGCAAACCAGACGACGAUGGCGUGAUGGAAGACAGGAAAAGGCGAGCAACAAUUUAGCGCUUUAAUUUGAUGGCUGUGAGGAGCAGGAGCAGCCUGCUCCUUGCCACAAGACAGCCGGUCCUGGUGCAAAUUCUAUCAACAGCUACGUUAGAUGGCGAUGGCCAACACUAGAUGUGGCCAAGACUGCGCUGGGCAGGCAAUUUAUUUUAAUUACUGCCUCUCGCCGGGCUGAGAAUGUUCAAUGUUGGCUGAAUGCCUCAAUGGUUUGGUUGGCAAAAAUGGCGAUGGCGAUGGGUAUCCGAAAAAGCGCUAAAACCCUAACAAGAGAAAUCAAUUUUCGCGGGGCCCUGUUGCCACAUGUUGCAACAGCAACAGUUUGCCAUUGCGGCGUCGCAAUGUCCCAGAUCGUUGAACUCUGGGGCCGAUGGGCCCUCGGGGUCUUAAUUUGAAUUGACUUCCGUCAACAAAGAGGCUGCCCCGCAGUGGCAGGCUGUACGGCUCCGAGUCGAGAUUCUAAUUGCAACAUGCUGCAAAGUAAGUGCGGACACUUGCAAUUAAUAAGAAUUGCUGCCGCUGCACAAGAAAACCCAUAAAAGUGCCUGCUCUUGGCCUUCGUCUUCGUCUUUGUCUGCCUCCUUCACUGGGAUAUAAACUUUACACCGAAAAAUAUGGAACGUGUCCUUCUGCAGUAGUUACUACUUUCAGCGGUUAAGUAAUAAAGUUCGUUUUUAUUGCAUUUUAUUUGUCCGAGAAAAUGGAAUUUGUAAUUUUAGAUUUUCCCUUAAGCGCUUUAGUUUCUGAAGGUACACAAGUUUUUUACCAAUAUAUGAAACUUCACUUUCUUCUUCACUUCAUAGAUUUCUAUCGUAGAUGUUGUAUCACAGUGAUCUACCAAGUGAUUAUAGAGAUCCAGUUUGAGCAUAGUAGUAGGUUGGCUAUAUUUCUCUCAGUGCACCCGUGUCCAGAGCUGGAGCCGUGGAUCUUCCUUCGUGCUCUCGAGUCCGCUUUUAUAGCCAAAGGGCUGCAGUUGGCUCAAGGAAUGCGGCGUAACGCCAGCAACAUUUCACGCUUAAUUAUAGACGCCAAGCGCUAGGAAUUUUUCAUAAGACUGAGGACACCAGGUGGGUAGGGGGGUGAGGGGGGAUGUGGGGCAGGCAUUUCCUAUUGCCAUCAUCUAAUGCCUGGCCAAGGAAGAGGCUGCCACGUUUAUUUAUGUGUGGGCCGUUGUUUUGUAAUUUAAUAAGCAAUGCAAAAAAUAAAAGGGGCGCGACUAGAAAGCGCAGCUCCAACCCACCGAUCCACUGAUACUCUUCGCGUUCUGGCCAGGAUUGGGCAUGGCACUGUGGCGGAAUGCAUAUGGCAAAUUGCCUGCUGGGUGAGCGCCUAUAACGUUUUGCUGGUUUGCGAAUCGCUUGGCUAAUAGUCCAUCCACCCACACACACACAUUCUGGCCAAGAAAGAGACGGGCACACGCCGUUGACGCCUCUGACGACGAGUAUCGGCGCCAUGGACCAAACUGCUGACUCAGAUGACUCCACCGCAACCACCACCACCACCAUCACUGCCAACUCCUUCGUUCUGGCAGGCUGCAGGAAUGCUGCAAUGUUGCAUAUGCAAUUAAUAAUUGGUUGCACAUGCGCAGCGGUGUGCAACAUUCUGCUGCCCGCAGCAUGAUGCGGCAACACGAUGGCUAAAAAUAUCCGGCGGACCUUUGACACUGGCCAUGUCGCUGGAAAUUGUGACUAAUUAGUGGACGCCACGGAGUGUGUCCACCUCCGCAAAAUGUGGAGCCAGUGCCUCAAUGGGCGCCUGGCAUUGCCACACACUCGCGGCGAAUUAAGGCACGCAACACAUUCAUCAAGUUCAAUUGAAAACGACACUCAAAGAAAAAGCUUAAUAUGCGCACUCUAGUCAAACAAAUCAAAUGCCAAAUUAUACAUUUAAACACAAAGUUUUCAAAACAAAUUGCACUCAGAUAGAUGUAUUUUUACUAUCCAAAUUAGCUAAAUAACUAUCCAAAUUUUCUUGCUGUGCAACAGAGAUUCUAUCAUAACCCAAAUCUUGCACACAGUUUUGCCAGAAUGGAGUUCUCCCGUCUUAAUUGAUCCAUAAAACAGAGACAACUCUAUUGCUUUUUGUGGGUCAAGUUUAGUGUCAAAGCCUUGGCCGUAGUUUCUGCCCCCCAUUUCUUUUUGGCAUUCCCCUCUCUGUUACGAGUAUCCACUGUGUCUGGAUGCCUAAUUAAAUGCCUGGGCAUAAUAUUAAUUUAUGGUAAUUUAAUACUUUAUUCAGAGUCUGAGGAGUGCAGCAGACGCAAUAGAAGAUUUAUGCUGCGCCUCUCUCCAGAUGAAACAAAUUGCUGGCAAUUUCCAAUUUCCAAAGGCUUUCAAAGGGGCCACAAUCUGGAGAAGAUCUUUUCAAUAAUUUGCGCCAAUUAGAAGCAUAUUCAGAGUGGCAUUCAAGUGAGUUUCGAGCGCUCCUCUAUUCCAUUAUUAUGAUGAGGUUGGCCCCUCGCUCCGUGGGCUUGUGCAAUGCCAGAGAAUCGACUUCAGAAACAUUUGGCCCAAUGGACUGGCGAUCGACUGCAGCUAUAAAUAGUUCUCCCACUUUUUUGUUCAGUUUGGGGGCAACAUGAUGUUGAAAUUUUGAUUGCGACAUUCCGGCGCUCGUUCCACGAACAAAUUGUGCUAAAGGAGUGGAGAUGGGGAACGAGAUUUGCUGUUGGGAUCUGUAGAACUUUGCUGCAUUUGAUUUACGGCAAAUGCCCGUGUUGACAUGCCGCAAAGCUUUCCGCUUAAUGAUGGCAUUUUCUUCGCAUUUUCGUAGCAUUUUCCUCGCAUUUUCGUAGCAUUUUCCCCACAGUUUCGUAGCUCUUUCCCCGCAUUUUCUUAGGAUUUUCGUAGCAUUUGUCUAGCUGGCGUGUGGCAAGCUGAUGACCUGGAAAAGCCAUGGAAAAGCCAAACAGAAAAGAACGCAGUCGCCUAAUUAAAUUCUUUUCGUGUGUCGCAGACACGCCAUCUUUAUCGCCGCCAACUGCGCCAACUUUUGUGUGACUUGAGACUUGAGUCUAACCCCGUUUGGGUUAUGCUAAUUCGGUCGUGCCGGGAUGUAACCACAUAUUGCCAGCCAUUUUUCUUGCUCUUUUUUCCUUUUUUGGCCCACUCUAAUGGCAAUGGCAACGUGUGGCACCUGCAGCUGGCGGGCGGAUCGUGAUCGGCGGUGGGCGUGGCUAAUAGGCGCGCAAUAACAACAACUAAUGACUAAAUUUCACAUAGCUCUGGCAACCUUUUAGGAAGCAAAUGUUAAUUAAAUUUAAUCACGUUUGCGACGCGACAACAUGGCCAGUUCAAAGGUUAAGUGAGUGCGCCAAAAGUAACCGCAUUCGGCUGCAGGCGACACACCCCCGCCAACUUUAUAGUUGCCACAAAAAUCCAAUAGAAAAUAAACAGAAAACACUAGCAAAAAGCGGCAAAAAUCCAGGCGUAUCAACAACGCAUCAGCAACAUUAGUUGCAGGUUGCAUUUCGUCGCUUGUGGCAUAAACGCCAAUUAUGUGCAACAUAUGCAUGGUCUGUGGAGAGCAAAGCGUGGCAUGUUUGCCAAUUUUUCAUUUCCUGCAAUGGCCAAAACAAAACUCGUACCUGCUGCUGCCAACAUCGCGAGUGGCUGCUGCUGUUGCUGUUGCUGUUGCAAGUUGCUGCCGCAAGUUGCCAGCAGAUGCGAGCGCGGCGAUAAGGCGCCAAAUGUGCAACAGCCAUGAACCAGGUAGCCAGGCGGAUAAACCAAAACAAAAAAAAAAACACAAUUCAGCCUUGGCAACGGGCGCAGCCUUAGAAUGACGGCAGCAACGUUGCUGCAACGUUGCAACUGCAACAUCGCCGCACUGCAACAGCAAUUGUCAUUUUUCACGAACGAACGCGGCAUGCAAAUUGCCGUAAAUUGAAUUUGUCUGAUUACGUUUGCGCCGCAGUCCGGUAAUCGAUUGUCUUGGGACUUGCAACUUGCGACUUGCGGCUUGCAGACUCCUCCCAGCUUCAAUAUUUACUCUUUCGCAGGAUUCGAUCGCCGGUGAAAAUGGGGAGGGAAAAAAUGAAAAAUUGUGCCAGCCAGGCGGCAGAUAAAUGAUUGCACUCGAAUUGCAUUUCGAUGAUUGCAAAAUUGCCGAGUUGCAGAUGCAACGCACCACAAAUUAUCUGCUGCAUGUGGCAAACGGAGAUGCGAGAACCUAAUGGAGAUUACAGGGUGCGAGAUGCCAAAGAAAUGCAGAGAAUAUUAUUGGUAAACAGUGUGAGUUCGCUAGAAAUGCUUAGUAGUUAUGCCCAGAAAACCUUGGCCAUCAAAUUCCCCUCCAGAAAUCACAGCGGUGUGGUUUAGGUUGCCAAAAUCGAAUCCGGCGGAUGUUUAUCGUGCCACAGUCACAGUCACAACAAACAGCAUAUCGAUUACCCCCAGGCAGUCUGUCUUUCGUUCACACGCUGCUCGAGAAGUGGAGAAGUUGAGAAUCCGAGAAGGAUAAGGGGAGUGAUGCAUGCUCGCCAGGAUGAGUCAUACCCCAUAUUGGCCAUAAAUUCCAACAGAUCUUGGGAUCUGGAGAGGAUGGGGGGAGAGCAAAGCUGUCAAGGGGCGAGUGGAGCCCGGUUCAGCGAUCGACGAUGCAAACAAAGAGCAGCUGCUUACCGACUGCUGUUCUGAUUCUGGAAGUGCGCAAAGUCAGCGAACAGCAAUGCGGCGGCUGAACAGGAAACAUGUGCCUGCCACGCCCUCUUGGGCGCAUGCAAACCUGGCAACCUGAGGGGGGGGCUACCCCCAAAACGAUCGAGCUUUUCCUUUCACGAAAUGCGUUCGCCGCCGCCGCCAAAGCCAUUAACAUAAAAAUAAGUUUCGCUUUUUGCGCUGCCAUAUCGCGACCAGCAAAUCGCCAAGGCGAAAUGAAGUUGUAAGCAAUGGAUUCGCGACUCUUUGGCGCUUUUUUUUGGCGUUACGUGAGUGGCGAAGAAAAACCGAUCGAAACGCAAUAAAUUUCACAAACGCGCGCAACAAUUAGAAACCAAGCAGCAAUGGCAAUCGCAGCAGCAGCAGCAACAGCGACAACUGCAACAAGCAUUGCAACUGCAACAGCAACAUGGCGCAGGCUGCGCAUGCGCAUGAGCGUCGAUAAUUUCUUGCUAUCGACGCGCCAUGAUCACGUAAAUUAUGUCCAAAACUGAAAAUAAAAUCAGGCAACAAGCUGGAACCAAAAAACAACAAAAUACAAAAAAUGCCAUGCGACGGUAUAUUUCGUAUUGGAAUCCAAGCGAUAUGCAUUUUGGGCAUUCAAGCGCUGCCUAUAAAAUUGUUUUUCUUUUUUUUUUUUUGUCUACUUUUGUUGGGUUUUGAAUAUUUUGUUGUUGCCUUUACCGCUUGAUUAAUUUUGGUGCGUUUGGCAACAGCGAAAAACUUUUAAAGCGUCAUUUUCUCGAUGCCGCUUUCUGUGUGUAUCUAUGUGUGUGUUCAACUUGAUUAGUAAAAUCAAUUUUCGUCGCUCAGCGAUUUCUAAUUAAUUGCUAUUGGCCUUUGGGGGAAUUGGUUUCGCUGGCUUAAGGAUACGUACCAAAAGAUAUAUGAGCUAUUAUGGAUUUUCAAUUACAUUUUAGAUAAGUUGCGCCACACAGAUUCUCUUUAAGUAAAUGAAAUGAACACAGUUUUCUACCAUUUUUCGACCAUCUUUUGUUUGGGUAUACAUAUCUCGGAAUUCCACGGCUGAGCUGCAUUUAAAUUAAUUCAUAUUCGCUUAACAUAAUCAAGUUUUUAGCAGUUAACCCACGAAUGCAGCUGCUAUUUUUAGGCCUCCUUUACGACUUGGCUCUUUCGAGCCCUGUCACUUCGUUCGCCAGUGAUUCAUGCAUUUUUACUUGGCCAACGCCCGCCUAAUUAAGAUAAAUACACAGAUGGGAUCUCUGGUUCAGCAUAGAGAUGCUGCUGGUGUUGCCAAUGUUGCUGGUGUUGCCGAUGUUGCUGCUGUCAUGUCAUUGUCGCUGCUGCCGGGGAACGUGUGGAAAUGCAGUCGCCGCUUUUCAGUUAACACGGUUCUGCGGCGGGUUGGGCCCAAACCGUAGCAACGGUUGUUAACAUCGCAGCUCCUUUCUAGCCGCAGGUUGCAGGUACUCGAAACAACAACUGCAACACCACCAACAGCAGCAACAGCAACAAAUUGCAGACGACACGAGGCAAGAAGGCAGCAAAAGCAGCAGCAGCAGGAGGAGAAUGGAUGCGAACGCCUCCUCCUCUGCAUAAACAACACUAGCGCCACCUACGUGCUCCGUUCCCAGCCGCACAGAUAUCCCCCCAAGAUCCCCACAAAGGAGCAUGGGUGUCCGCAGAUGGUAUCGCCCUUGCCCCUGGCCCAUGCCAUGCCUCCGCAUCUUGGCCAACUGCUGCCUACGGGGCUUAAAGCCCAACUCUGCUGUCGCUUGGUGUUGCAACGUCGCUGGUGUGGCAGUUGCCGCUGCUGUCGCUGCAACGGAAGUCAGUAAACUUUCAGGGUUAUUAUUAUGCCCAGGCUGUUGGGCCCCAAAGAAACCUGUGGCCCCACUUCAGCUGUCACUGCCGAUCGCAGCCGCUUGGGAAUUGCAAUUGCCAAAAUAAAGCUGUUCUGCUGCAUUCACAGCUGCUUACAGCUAAUUCUACACGAGGAAACAAAGAAACCCACUCCCAUUUCACUUGAUAAUGAUUGCUUGAUAGGGAAGCAGAAAUUUGUGAAGCUUCUAAACAUUCCAAAAAACAAUAAACAAUAUUAGUCAACAAAUUUUACUCAUGGUAAAGAAAUCUGCUUAUCAGUUUGCUAUGCAAACUGUGUUUUCAAUUUAAAUAACUUAUGAGUGCACAUAAAAAGUAUCUUCUUAAAAUAAUGUUCUGAAAUAUUCACUUUUUUUUCCGGUGUGCAGCAAAAACAAGCGAACAGCUCUCCUUUCCGGUAUUUCCCCCCAAAGAAAAACCCCAUUUGCAUGGGCUUUCCCUGCGGAAAAAGGGCCGGACGGGAAAAUUGGUCACGGUGUGGCCUAAAUGGCAGGUACUAGUGCGAGAAACGCUUAUCGGCAACGGCCAUCGAUUUCGGCGAGGCUUCACUGUAAUUCAACUGUUUGUGCGAGCGCAUUGAACUUCUUUUGUUCGCCAUUCUAAAUCCACUGGCCAUUAUCUUGGCGUCGCCCCCAAACCCCCAAUCCGUUCACUUUGGGGCUUCUUUGGUUCUUUGGUGAUAAGCCAAUUGCGCAUAGUUCACACCCCGCACGACUCUGCAGAUACCAGUGACCCCAAAUCGCGGCCUGAUUAAUUAACUGCCAUGGAUAUGGCUAAUCAAUGACUAUAACGGCAUCUGCGGGCUUAUGGCUCAAUCUGCAUCAAUCUAGCUAGGAAAUCGUACACCCAUUAUGCGGUCUUCGCUCGCCAUUAUCGUCUGUGCCGCGUACUUGGGCCCAAUAUCACAUUACCAUAUACCAUAUAUACCAUAUACCCUAUACCAUAUAUCUUCCCCGCCCCCGCCCCGAAGAGCAGUCAUUGACUUUUGUUUAUUAAUUUAAAGUGGUGUUGUCGCUCUUUGCAACGCUAAUCCGUUUUAUCUGCCGCCUCCGCUUGUUCGCUGGGUAUUUGAUGUUCGAUUUCCAUAGAAAAGAUUUAUAUCGCCGCCUUUGCGGGGGAGCCAAAGGGUUUGCGGGUGUUUUCAGUGCAACGAAAAGUAUCUAAAAUACUUGUAUCUCAUGUUUACUUAUCAUCAUUGGGUGGUUGAUUUGCAGUAGUUCACCAAUUUUCACAGUGUGUUUAUGUUCAGCUUCUCAAGUCUGCAACCACUUGGUUAAACUUGGUCCAAAAAUAACCCAAUCUCUGUGUGUACUACUAAGAACUAUCUUUGGGAUGCGGGCGUGUGUUCUUUUUUGGGGGUGGACAGUGACACAGUUUGUCGUGGAGAGCAUUGCACUCGCUGGGCAACGCCGGGUCAACAUAUCGAUGCGGCAACAAUGUUGCUGCCCACCCAUGUCCACUACUCACCUGGCUGUCGCCGUUGUUUGCUGUAUGUGGGGCGUACUGUAGCCGCUCUUAACCCGCUUCAAUCCACUGGUAAUCCGGUAAUCCAAUAAAGACCAAUAAAGACGGGAUAUAGUUCAAGUGGAGGAGGCCCAGCGAUUACAAGGCACAGCAGCCGCACUGAUAACAAGUUGCUGCUGGGUUUUUAUGGCAUGCAAUUAUUGCCCGAGACACAGAUACAGAUACACAGCUGUAGAUACAACACACGAAUGGCCAUUUAAGUUUGUUCAGUCGAGUGGAAAAUUCUUCAUUCAAUUAUGAUUUAAAGUAAAUGCUUUUGGGGCGCUGCACUGCACUUAACUUUGAACUUAACAUUUCGGUUUUUCGAGCGCUCGCCUCACUUUUUGUUAUCGGCAAUUGGAAAUGCAUUGACCUCGUUUCGGGGCAACAAAGUUGCCAAACACUGUAAACAUUUUUGGUUUUGUGGGUUUUUUUCUAUUUUUUACUUUUGUUAUUUUUCUGUUUGCCUGCCAGCGGGGGAGGGCGUGUCACAGGGGGCGGGGUGCAGUAACAAUUGGUGCGCAACGGAAGCAAACUAUAUGGCAUGCAUAUACAUAUAUUCCAAGGGGGGGCUGCUCAGAAACAAUUUAAAAACGCAUCGCUGCACACAUUUUCACUGCUCUUUCCUCAUAUGUUUGAACAAAAAACACGGUCAGCUGCAAGAAUGCGCACUUUCGAAGGUUUCACUGUUCGUUUCCUGUGCGAUGUUCACCGGUCAACGUGAGACUGAAAACUGAAAACUAAAAACUGAAAACAAAACCCAACCGAAACCCAAAUCAAAAUGUAACAGUCGCCCCGAAAGAGAGAGAGAGAGUGACCAAAUGCCAGAGAAAGAGAGAGAGAGAGAAAAAAGAGAGUUUUAGUGCUGCGGAUUGAGUGCUCAUGCGCGUGGGCGAUGGUCGUCCCGCUUAGGGGGUGACUACUGUCAACUGGCGCUGCACUUGUGCGUGUAUCUCGCAGAUGCGCGCACCGUAUCUGCCGGAUGCAUUGUGUGGGCCCCUUGUGCAGCCGUAUCUGCAUCUCAAGGGUUGGACCUCAAACUGGGGUAAUAGUCGCAUUCACUGCUGCUCCCAGUUGAAGAUGAAGCUGCAGUUGGAGAUGGGGAUUUCGAUGGAGUGGAGUCUGUUGAUUUACGAGUAUUGAAUGCAGUGGAAGCCCCGCUCUUCGGUAAGCGGUGAAAGUGUUUUCCCCCACCGCCCCGCUCCACCACUCCCCCACAUGUGAACACAAUGGGGACCAGAAACAGAUUUCGUCACACAGCGGAAAACAAGAAAAGCAAAUCAACUGCAUAUUGUCAUCUCGAGAUUGUUGUAUAACACUUGAGUUAUCAGAGUAACCUUUUCUUUAUUAGUUGGCUACCAAGUUUGAGUUCUUAUACGAAAGUAGUUGCCUUUAUGCAUAGGUAAAUAAUAUUUACAAAUUCGGCACAAGAAAUGUUACUUUAAAAAAAAAUAUUUGGGCAUUUAACAUUUAUGAUUUUUGUUUUCUUAUGAACACUUACAAUGUUCUUUAGGAAAUAAAUAUUAAGUAAAAAUACUAACAAUGCUGAAUAAAAAAAAGGAUUUUUUUUGUAACCAAUAUUGGUUAAAGCAAAUAUCAAUAUAAAAUAUUUAUUUUCCACUCUGUGAAAGUGGCGAUGCGGGUUUAUUCAACUCUCGAGUGAGGAGCGGAAAACAGGGGAUGAGAUUUUCCACCCACCUCGUGGGGAUGCUGGGAGCGACCGGCGAAAACUGUUGCGUGCUUUCGGGAGUUCCCGGGAAAUUGGCGCACUCGUGCACUGGGACAACAAAUAAUCGAGGGCUGCUGAGGUGGGUAUCCGUAUCCGUAUCCAACCGGGGGUUGCUCAGCUCCGCCCUUUAAGGGCACUCCUUGAAAACGCAGCCACAGUGCAGCAAAUAUUGCCAUAUAAACAGGGUGACUUUGCGCACACUGUAAUGUGCCAUUGUAAUGGAAAUCCAACUUUGACACGCGAUUGCUGAGAGGGGUGAACACGCUGACACUGCAAUCUGUUUAAUUGAGGUGUUUAGCACGGUGAAUAAUUAAAACAACAGAAAGAAUUCCUCAUGUGAGAGGGGAAGGGGGGCAGCACACAAAGGUCAAAAUAAUAAAUUAGACACGCGUCUGAGUGGAGUUGAAAUGGAGAGUGUUUAGGGAUGGUAUUAUAGAUGCUUCUAGAUAGACCAACAACAGGAUAAAACUUCUUGUGAGUUUGCCUCUAACUUCACCAUACAUUCUUCCUCGAAAAAUGUCCCCAUCCAUUGGAAAUACUUCUCCAAUUCGGAACAUACUCGAAUUACACGUUGCCAUCGCUAGCUGCGUGGAGUUCUAUUACCAUUUGGGCGCAACAAAUGUGUCUGGAGCACAUUUCGUGACCAGGCACAUGUCAUUAGCCAAACCAGCCCAAACAAAUGAUGACUGCACCACGCACUUGGAAGGAGCCGCUUGGCUGAAAAACUGUGCCACCGCAGAAAACAGAGUACUAAAAGCUAGGUAAUAAAGCGUUAUUAUGCCGUUACAACAUGUCAACUGCACAGUGAAAAAAAAAGUUCUGUCAAAAGACCUUAAAAUACUGGUUAAACAGUCUAUUACACAGCAGAAAAACGUUUUAUAACUUUCAUGUAUCUUAAAAUCUUUCAGCAGCUCAACUGUGCAGCAAUGAGGGUUUCAAACUUAAGGCUAUAAGUAUUUAUACAUUCUCAAGGUUGAUAACAGGUGGAUUUAUGUUUCAAGCCUUUGUCGCACUUCGUAGACUGACUACUGUAGCUGAAGCCCGCCGAUCGCUUGCGUAAGAGCAAACAGUGGGCUCGCAAAGUAAUGCGACAGGCGUUAAAUGCGCCGGCAAUCGAUUUGAUUCGCAGUCGCGAUGCGAAUUUAAUUGAAAUGAAAAAUAGCCGCCCAUUCGCACAGUGGGCAGUUGGCGGUGGACACUCGCCAGUGGGCGUGGCAGUCACUGGGCGGCUGCGAAGGCUGCGGAGGCUGAGGACAUUAAACUGAAGUCGGGGACCCAGAAAGUGGAGGCCAGCUGUAAGGAAGUCAGUCGGUCGUCUGGCAAAUGCGAAUACAAAUGUAAAUGUAAAUGCAAAUGCAAAUGCUGGGCUGCCCACGCGAAAUUAUGAAAAAUUAUGAAAACUGACCAAGUUGCAGCUGGAAAAGCCACAAGGAGCUGAACGUGGAGAUGCCGAGUUGGCCAAAAGUGCAUUUCACGCUGGCUAAUGAAACAAAUUAUAAGUGGCCACUGUCGUCGGACUUUUGCGGAAAACAAACCGAAACCAUUUGCCGCCUGAUUACGAAGACGAUGGUCAUAAUUAUAUGUUUAUGAUGAUGAUGAUGAAUGCCUGGCGCGUGACGCAUGCGCAGUAAACAAAGAAUAUCUGGGAUAUCAGGAGAAGAAUUUCAGUUCUUCGGGGAUCAUCAUGGCUGCCAAAUCUCAAGUGAUUCAGUCUAUGGCGUUGAGUCAACUGGCUGAAUAAUUUCCCAUUCACCCGUAGACAAUAAAUAAGUUCGGAAAUGUAAUGUAGAUAAUAAACAUUAGUGUUGAGA